GUGCCAGCCGCCGCGGUAAUACGGAGGGUGCGAGCGUUGUCCGGAAUCACUGGGCGUAAAGGGCGCGUAGGUGGCCCGUUAAGUGGUCGGUGAAAUCCCGGAGCUCAACUCCGGGGCUGCCGAUCAGACUGGCGGGCUCGAGCACGGUAGAGGCAGAUGGAAUUCCCGGUGUAGCGGUGGAAUGCGUAGAUAUCGGGAAGAAUACCAGUGGCGAAGGCGUUCUGCUGGGCCGUUGCUGACACUGAGGCGCGACAGCGUGGGGAGCAAACAGGAUUAGAAACCCUGGUAGUCC
rnacentral:rRNA from 1 species